CCUGGUAAUUAUUGCGAAAGUGUAAUACCCGAUCCCAUUCCGAACUCGGAAGUCAAGCCUUUCUGCGCCAAUGGUACUUUGUCUUAAGACAUGGAAGAGUAGGACAUUGCCAGGC
rfam:Candidatus Pelagibacter sp. RS40 genome.